GAGAGCGAUAGAGAGGGUAGAGGGAGGGGGCGAGAGAACAGAGAGAGAGAGGUUCUCCUCCUUGCUCGUUUUCCUCUUUAUUUGUUGGUCCGUCUAGAAUUUUUGAUCGAAUGCCGGAGAGGUUCUUGUUUUAGGGUUUAUCUUUCUGAUGUUUUGUUUUCGAUGAAUUCCCAAUUCUUGAUUCUGAGUUCUUUUCUUUCUAGGGGUUUUGAUUUUCAAUGAACUUUUAAUUCUUUUUUCUGAGUUCUUGAUGAAAACUAUAGUCUUUUUUGACGUUCCCAUGAUAGCACAUGUUAAUCCGUAAUCAGACCUACCAGUACUGCCAAUAAAAUCAUCAUUCUUUGAUUGUAUUGGCAAUAAUACCUUGCUUUUUCAAUGCUCUGACCUUUCAGUAAUAUCUUUGAUCCUAGAGAAAGCAACAAACAAUAACUGUCAGUGUCUAUACUAUCUACCUUUUUGAAUGGGCAACUCAAUUUUAGUAUAACUUUUAUUUUGGUUAUAGAAAAUUCUUUAUUUUAUUUGGUAUAGAUUUUUUAUCUAGANN
rnacentral:lncRNA from 1 species